ACGCUCGACACCUACGGGAUGCAGCAGUGGGGAAUAUUGCACAAUGGGGGAAACCCUGAUGCAGCGACGCCGCGUGAGCGAAGAAGUAUUUCGGUAUGUAAAGCUCUAUCAGCAGGGAAGAAAAUGACGGUACCUGACUAAGAAGCCCCGGCUAACUACGUGCCGGCAGCCGCGGUAAUCUGAGCGGGCUGGCAAGGC
rnacentral:rRNA from 1 species